rnacentral:rRNA from 1 species
CCUACGGGGGGCUGCAGUGAGGAAUAUUGGUCAAUGGGCGAGAGCCUGAACCAGCCAUCCCGCGUGCAGGAUGACGGCCCUAUGGGUUGUAAACUGCUUUUCUGCUCCAAGAAACCCUGUUACGUGUAACAGGUUGACGGUAGAGUAGGAAUAAGCAUCGGCUAACUCCGUGCCAGCAGCCGCGGUAAUACGGAGGAUGCAAGCGUUAUCCGGAUUCAUUGGGUUUAAGGUGUGCGCAUAAGGGAAUGGAGAAAUACUGCCGCUUAACGGUAGAACUGCCAUUGAUACUGCGUUUCUUGAGUAUGGUUGAGGUAGGUGGAAUGUGUUGUGUAGCGGUGAAAUGCAUAGAUAUGACACAGAACGCCGAUUGCGAAGGCAACUUACUAAGCCAUUGCUGACGCUGAGGCACGAAAGCGUGGGUAGCGAACAGGAUUAGAUACCCCUGUAGUC